CUAAGUCUGAUUUGCAUAAGGGC
rnacentral:piRNA from 1 species